CCUACGGGAGGCAGCAGUGGGGAAUUUUGCGCAAUGGGGGAAACCCUGACGCAGCAACGCCGCGUGGAGGAUGAAGUCUCUUGGGACGUAAACUCCUUUCGAUCGGGACGAUAAUGACGGUACCGGAAGAAGAAGCCCCGGCUAACUUCGUGCCAGCAGCCGCGGUAAUACGUAGGGUGCGAGCGUUAAUCGGAAUUACUGGGCGUAAAGCGUGCGCAGGCGGUUUUGUAAGACCGAUGUGAAAUCCCCGGGCUUAACCUGGGAACUGCAUUGGUGACUGCAAGGCUUGAGUAUGGCAGAGGGGGGUAGAAUUCCACGUGUAGCAGUGAAAUGCGUAGAGAUGUGGAGGAAUACCGAUGGCGAAGGCAGCCCCCUGGGUCAAUACUGACGCUCAUGCACGAAAGCGUGGGGAGCAAACAGGAUUAGAUACCCCGGUAGUCCACGCCGUAAACGAUGAGUGCUAAGUGUUAGAGGGUUUCCGCCCUUUAGUGCUGCAGCUAACGCAUUAAGCACUCCGCCUGGGGAGUACGGCCGCAAGGCUGAAACUCAAAGGAAUUGACGG
rnacentral:rRNA from 1 species